AUUGAACGCUGGCGGCAGGCCUAACACAUGCAAGUCGAGCGGAUGAAGGGAGCUUGCUCCUGGAUUCAGCGGAGGACGGGUGAGUAAUGCCUAGGAAUCUGCCUGGUAGUGGGGGAUAACGUCCGGAAACGGGCGCUAAUACCGCAUACGUCCUGAGGGAGAAAGUGGGGGAUCUUCGGACCUCACGCUAUCAGAUGAGCCUAGGUCGGAUUAGCUAGUUGGUGGGGUAAAGGCCUACCAAGGCGACGAUCCGUAACUGGUCUGAGAGGAUGAUCAGUCACACUGGAACUGAGACACGGUCCAGACUCCUACGGGAGGCAGCAGUGGGGAAUAUUGGACAAUGGGCGAAAGACUGAUCCAGCCAUGCCGCGUGUGUGAAGAAGGUCUUCGGAUUGUAAAGCACUUUAAGUUGGGAGGAAGGGCAGUAAGUUAAUACCUUGCUGUUUUGACGUUACCAACAGAAUAAGCACCGGCUAACUUCGUG
rnacentral:rRNA from 1 species